GACGAACGCUGGCGGCGUGCUUAACACGUGCAAGUCGAACGAAGAGCGAUGGAAGCUUGCUUCUAUCAAUCUUAGUGGCGAACGGGUGAGUAACGCGUAAUCAACCUGCCCUUCAGAGGGGGACAACAGUUGGAAACGACUGCUAAUACCGCAUACGAUCUAAUCUCGGCAUCGAGGAUAGAUGAAAGGUGGCCUCUACAUGUAAGCUAUCACUGAAGGAGGGGAUUGCGUCUGAUUAGCUAGUUGGAGGGGUAACGGCCCACCAAGGCGAUGAUCAGUAGCCGGUCUGAGAGGAUGAACGGCCACAUUGGGACUGAGACACGGCUCAGACUCCUACGGGAGGCAGCAGUGGGGAAUCUUCCGCAAUGGACGAAAGUCUGACGGAGCAACGCCGCGUGAGUGAUGACGGCCUUCGGGUUGUAAAGCUCUGUUAAUCGGGACGAAAGGCCUUCUUGCGAAUAGUGAGAAGGAUUGACGGUACCGGAAUAGAAAGCCACGGCUAACUACGUG
rnacentral:rRNA from 1 species